rnacentral:rRNA from 1 species
UACGUAGGGUGCAAGCGUUGUCCGGAAUUAUUGGGCGUAAAGAGCUCGUAGGCGGUCUGUCACGUCGGCUGUGAAAACCCGAGGCUCAACCUCGGGCCUGCAGUCGAUACGGGCAAACUAGAGUACUGCAGGGGAGACUGGAAUUCCUGGUGUAGCGGUGAAAUGCGCAGAUAUCAGGAGGAACACCGGUGGCGAAGGCGGGUCUCUGGGCAGUAACUGACGCUGGAGGAGCGAAAGCGUCGGGGAGCGAACAGG